GGUCCUUCAACAGCUGGACAGCAUAGGAACAGUGGAUGUCUACGGCUGUGUGUUUGACCUCCGGCUGCACCGCUCUCACAUGGUGCAAACAGAGUACCAGUACUCCUUCCUCCACCAGUGUGUUCGAGAUGUCCUGAGAGCCAGGAAGCUCCGUAGUGAGCAGGAGAACCCUCUCUACCCCAUCUAUGAGAACUUCAACCCAGACUACUACCGUGAUUUUGUGUACACGGGACGCUAAAGACAGUCUGGGUUCCUCUCCACAACUGAGUGAGAAUGAAAAGCAGGGAAGAAUCUGUUGAACACCAGCAGACAGCCAGUCUGUCACAACUACAGCACUAUAGAGUGGGGGGUAAAGCUAUUUAUUAUUGAUACGCUGUUGGUUCAACCUCUCAGGAUGUCUGUUUAAAAUGGAACAGAUCCACGUCUGGAAAUAUUGACAUUACAUUCACUUAUACCUGAAUCUUAGGUUGCAUUCAAUGAGAUAUAUGUUUAUAUUGUUUUGCACCUAAUUGUAAGCUCUUCCAAGAAACAUUAUUUCUAAACUCAUGUUUUUUCAAUAUUAGUAAUGUCUGAUGAAAAGACAAAAGGAACAGAUAUAAAUGUGGAUAUAAUGAUUCUUAUUCAAUGUAAUAGAAAAAAGAUGAAUGAAAAAUAUCAGGCGAAGCAAUAAAUGGGAUUCUAUGAGGCGUAGCUACCCUACAUCACAAAGCAUUAUUAUGACAAGGCUUGACUCCUAAAAACCUUCCCUGAAGGAACCUUCCCUGCAUCCCAACUGGCACCCUAUUCUCUAUGGGUCCUAAUCAAAAGUUGUGCACUAUAUAGGGAAUAGGGUGCCAUUUGGGUACAAAGCCCUUUCUGUAUAAUAUGUUCUAAAUCGUAGUUGCUGGUUCGUAGUUAAAAAAUAAUUAACCCGAAGCAGACAGACAGACAGCUAGCUGUCUUGAGAGUAGCUCAUCACAAUGCUGUCUAUAUCCUUGUAUAAAGUAGCAGACCGUUUGUACAGUUGCUUGUGUUGUGAAUAGUUCUCUUAUCUUUAAACAUAUCGUCAGUUCAUGUUGUGUGUGUGUACCAUUGAGAUUGUACAGUAGAGCCUGGAAGAGGGAACAGUAUAUAGUUUGUAUAAGUAUGACAUCUCGGCUACCUAUGUUUUCUAGGGCGAAGGGAAUACUCUACUGGAAAACAAAUGCCAUCUUGUAUUCGGUUGUCUCCGAAAGAGGUGGUAACCUUUUUUCCAUGGUCUUUCGAACCAGAUGGAGGGAGUGUUCAUGAGAGGGACUGUAUGGGUUUUGUACAUUACCUUCCUCAAAACAUGAUGUUGCAUUUCUGUUCAUCCUUUUGGCAUAAAACUAGGCUGAUGAAUGUGUCUGUGAACAUACAAACAGUGAUCUUUCUAUGUCAUGUUGAACUGAGCAGGAGAUCCCUUCAACUGAAUCUGAGCUGGCCAGCUUCCUGAUCUAAACAGGAGAAGGUCUAGAAAUAGGACUAAACUAAAAACAACUGAAGAAACUUCACACAAUAAGCAAUACUGGCCAAAUCCUGCUGAGAUCCUGGGGAUAAAGUGAGAGAAUUGAACAAAAUGUCAACAUCCUGACCCUGUGAAAGGUCUGUAGUGGCCAAGACACUGACCUUUCCAGUCUACAGGUUUGGGACGUGGCAUUUCUCUGUCUGAGCUUCUCUGAGCCCCUAGCCACGGAAACAAAGACUGAGCUACAGAAGAGACAGUGUUGGUUGGCAUUCUUCCCAUUGUUACUGAAGAUAUUGCAGAUCUUCAGUAGCUCUCAUUCCGUUAGUAUUUCAAUAUCAAUCUGUAUCUACAUAUAAAUAGUACGUUCAGAUUGAAUCUUCUCUCCAAUGGCUCCCGUUACGUUAGUGUCUCUACUCUAUAUACAAACAUCACAUAUUUAGUUUAACUUUGUUGUUCAAUUUAAACAUGAAAAUACUAAGAGGAUCAUUUUCAGGGUUCUGACUCCUCCCACUAGUAUCAGAUGGAACACAUUCUGACUCCUCCCAGUAGUAUCAGAUGGAACACAUUCUGACUCCUCCCAGUAGUAUUAGAUGGAACACAUUCUGACUCCUCCCAGUAGUAUCAGAUGGAACACAUUCUGACUCCUCCCACUAGUAUCAGAUGGAACACAUUCUGACUCCUCCCAGUAGUAUCAGAUGGAACACAUUCUGACUCCUCUCAGUAGUAUCAGAUGGAACACAUUCUGACUCCUCCCGCUAGUAUCAGAUGGAACACAUUCUGACUCCUCCCGCUAGUAUCAGAUGGAACACAUUCUGACUCCUCCCAGUUGUAUCAGAUGGAACACAUUCUGACUCCUCCCAGUUGUAUCAGAUGGAACACAUUCUGACUCCUCCCAGUAGUAUCAGAUGGAACACAUUCUGACUCCUCCCAGUAGUAUCAGAUGGAACACAUUCUGACUCCUCCCAGUAGCAGGGAUAUUGAAUUUCCUGUUUAGUCCUAUUCCCCUCUUCACAAAAAAUGCUGGCGCUCGUCAUUGAUUUUGCACCAAAUAACCCCCACACAGCAAGUAAGACAAUGUAUAAAUUAUUGUGUAGAGUAGAGCACCAGUCUCUCAGGCUUGACCCUCUCACCCCUGUCCUCCCCUAUAAGCCUAAAGGUCAUAUCAUAAAGAGAUUGUCUCCAGAUAAUAUAGUACAGAAACAUCAAAUCUCUCCAUCUGUUCUCCUCCCUGCUGGGAGUUGAGUGGAUUUAAUUGUGUUAAGCUCCACUGUGGAUUCCUCAAAAGUUUUUCAUUACAGAAAUCUAUAUCAAUCCGCCUCCCUCCUGUCAAACUAAUACGUUCUUAGAUCCCCAAUGACCCUCUAGAACACAUCUCUCUGAGUUUCACCAGAGUAUGGCUCGUGCCCAUACAGCAGCUAAAACUUCAUGUGAAGGCGCUUAGCUACCUGAUGAAUAUUCUUCCAACGUUUCUGUUUUGCUGUUACAUCGCUACUACCUCGCUCACCAACCAACAGUUGACCUGCAGGGGGAAACCUUCUAACCAAGGCCUUUAGAAAGAAACAAGGAGAUUAGGGACAGAGGUGUUGGAGGCAAAUCAGAGGAAUUAACUGUCUUUAACAGAGAGGUCAUGGCGUAAGCCUGCCGUGUCAUUUACAGUAUGUAUCAUUUACAGUAUGUAUCAUUUACAGUAUGUAUCAUAUCAUUUACAGUAUGUAUCAUUUACAGUAGGUAUCAUUUACAGUAGGUAUCAUUUACAGUAGGUACCAUUUACAGUAGGUAUCGGUUACAGUAUGUAUCAUUUACAGUAGGUAUCAUUUACAGUAGGUAUAAUUCCACAUGAUCUAUGGGAUGGUUGUGCAUCUGGAAUAUGAACAUAGCUUAAACUAGCUGAAAGAAUGUUCCCUAGCCUAGAAUGUUCCCUAGCCUGGAAUGUUCCCUAGCCUAGAAUGUUCCCUAGCCUGGAAUGUUCCCUAGCCUAGAAUGUUCCCUAGCCUAGAAUGUUCCCCUAGCCUGGAAUGUUCCCUAGCCUAGAAUGUUCCCUAGCCUGGAAUGUUCCCUAGCCUGGAAUGUUCCCUAGCCUAGAAUGUUCCCUAGCCUGGAAUGUUCCCUAGCCUGGAAUGUUCCCUAGCCUAGAAUGUUCCCUAGCCUAGAAUGUUCCCUAGCCUAGAAUGUUCCCUUUCAUUUAAAAGUAGAGAAUUCUGUUGUUUAUUUUUUGUUCUUCAUAAUCAUACUGCUGGCAAUAGAGGAGAGAAGUGUUGAUGCAUGUUCCUAAUUGGUUUCCAACUCUGUUUCCAGUCUCUUGUUAAUAUGAUGAGGUAAUCUGCCAUCUCAUUACGUUCAGCACAUAGUUAACUAUGAACCGUUCAUCCCUCUGGAGAACUAAGGUUGUAUUAAUUAAUCACUGAUGUAGGCAGGCGUCCCAAAAGGGUGCCAUUUGGAGCACACAGCCAUAGAGUGAUUAAUCAUAGGAGUAGUAUCUCUCUAGAUCAGUGUCUUACUCGGUGAGCAUACUGCCAAAAUAAGGAAGCCUUGUCCAAGCCAGAGCGGCCCAAAGGGCAGGAGCCUGUCUCCUGUUUCUGAAGCGUGAGGCAACUUAAUGUACUAGUACACCCCUGGACAGGACACUAGUCUGUCUGACUAUACUGGUAUAUAUUAAUGUACUAGUACACCCCCUGGACAGGACACUAGUCUGUCUGUCUAUACUGGUAUAUAUUAAUGUACUAGUACACCCCCUGGACAGGACACUAGUCUGUCUGUCUAUACUGGUAUAUAUUAAUGUACUAGUA